GCCCUCUCAGGGUCGCACCUGGAGAGUUUCCAGUCCUCUACCAGUCUCGGCUACGGGAGGGAGAGUCAAGCGGAGGCCCGUCCGUUCCGUUCCUAGCUCGGGCAGCGGCUAGCGAGCGGAAGGCCGUCCGCUACAAGU
rnacentral:snoRNA from 1 species